GAAGUACUCCCUCCGUCCGAAAAUACUUGUCAUCAAAAUGGAUGAAAAUGGAUGUAUCUAGAACUAAAAUACAUCUAGAUACAUCCAUUUCAAUGACAAGUAUUUCCGGACGGAGGGAGUAUUAG
rnacentral:pre_miRNA from 1 species